GGGGGUGGGGGGGGGGGGGCUGGGGGGAGGCGGGUGGAACGGAAGGGCGCUGCGGGGGUGGGGGGCGCGGGGGGCGCACGGGUGCGUGACAAGUGGGUGAUCCGCCCUUGACUUUGGGCUUACUUCAGUAGACUGGGGCUGAGACCUGAUAGGAUCUCCUGCUGCAUUGUGGGGGGUGGCAAGUUUAGGCGGUUGUGGAUGGACUCGCGGCUUAUCAGCUUGUUGGGGGGGUAGUGGCUGACCAAGGAUUUGCCGGGUAGCCGGCCUGAGGGGGUGACGGGCCAAAUUGGGACUGAGAUACGGCCCAGACGCCUAGGGGCGGCAGAAGUGGGGAAUAUUGCACAAUGGGCGGAAGCCUGAUGAAGCAACGCCGCGGGCGGGAUGACGGCCUUCGGGUUGUAAACCGCUUUCGCCUGUGACGAAGCGUGAGUGACGGUAAUGGGUAAAGAAGCACCGGCUAACUACGUG
rnacentral:rRNA from 1 species